rnacentral:rRNA from 1 species
AGGUAGAGAAUACCAAGGCGCUUGAGAGAACUCGGGUGAAGGAACUAGGCAAAAUGGUGCCGUAACUUCGGGAGAAGGCACGCUGGUGUGUAGGUGAAGUCCCUGCGGAUGGAGCUGAGACCAGUCGAAGAUACCAGCUGGCUGCAACUGUUUAUUAAAAACACAGCACUGUGCAAACACGAAAGUGGACGUAUACGGUGUGACGCCU